CUGAGCCCGCGCCGGGGCCCCUUCGAACCGCUCUGGGCGGGGCGGGAGGCGAAGGCGGCCCUGGCCGGCGCUCGCUGGUUGGGUUCGUGGCUCAGGCCUAGUGGGGACCUGCACCCCACGUUUGAGGCCUCCGCAAUAUGCGGACGCCACGUCGGCGUUGUCACUGACCGGACCGGAACCCAGGCUUGAGAAGCGCGAGUUGUGGGGGCCGCGGGGUACGACGAGGGUGACUGGGUAGAGAGGUGGAGCCAGCAGGAAAAAUGUCUUUGAGGAGUUGACGUUGGAAUUGAAGUCAAGAGAAUGAGGAGAUAGCAUUGGGAAAAGGAAGGCAGAGACAUUCCAAAUCAAGAACAGCUUGCACCAAGGUCCUGAGAAAGGGAUAGAGUCACCAAAAUUUGGCAAGGUAUAAACCCAUCCAUGAGAAAGACUACAUUCUCCCAGCCACUCUUACAGUAAUCUGAAACUGAACCCAUGAUAUCUCCGAGGAAUGCAUGUGCAGCCCUUAAUCCUGGCCAGUGGGAUCUGCCUGAAGUGAACUGCCCUCUGAAAAUAUUAAAUGGAAAAUCCCAGGAAAAAAAAAAGCCUGAAGUUUUAAAUUGCACACCGUUCUGAGUAGCAUGAUGAAAUUUUGUGCUGCCCCGCUGUCCUGCGUGGGAUCCACAACCAUCAACAUCAUCUGCUUCUGGCAUCCAAACCCCAACACUGUCAUGGCUCAGUGACCCAGGAUCACCUGAAGCAGAUUUCCUACGUUGAAAACACAUUAUUAAUUUUAAAAUUAAGUAUGCUUUAAAGAUUAUUACAGAGAAAAUCCCUACUGAGUGGCACUUGGCACAGUGGAACUGCAAAAACUCUGCUCUCAAGAAACACGGAGAUGAGAACAAAAAUACUGACUACCCCAGACUGACUGUAGAGAGGACAUGAGAUCAUGUAGAGGAGCACCUGGCACAAGACUCUUGAGAAUCCCUCGGAAUGUGAGGAGAUCAAACCAGUCAAUCCUAAAGGGAAUCAAUCCUGAAUAUUCAUUGGAAGGACUGAUGCUGAAGCUGAAGCUCCAAUACUUUGGACACCUGAUCCGAAGAGCCCACUCAUUGGAAAACACCCUGAUGCUGGGAAAGAUAGAAGGCAGGAGGAGAAGGGGACAACAGAGGAUGAGAUGGUUGGACGGCAUCACCAACUCAGUGGGCAUGGUUUAAGCAAGUUCUGGGAAAUGGUGAAGGACAGAGAGGCCUGGUGUGCUGGAGUCCAUGUGGUCACAAAGAGUCAGAUACGAUUGAUCGACUGUACUACUUUGUUAAUCGGCUACACCCCAAUACAAAAUAAAAAGUUUUUUUUUUUUUUUUAA